CCCCGGUAAACGGCGGCCGUAACUAUAACGGUCCUAAGGUAGCGAAAUUCCUUGUCGGGUAAGUUCCGACCUGCACGAAUGGCGUAAUGAUGGCCAGGCUGUCUCCACCCGAGACUCAGUGAAAUUGAACUCGCUGUGAAGAUGCAGUGUACCCGCGGCAAGACGGAAAGACCCCGUGAACCUUUACUAUAGCUUGACACUGAACAUUGAGCCUUGAUGUGUAGGAUAGGUGGGAGGCUUUGAAGUGUGGACGCCAGUCUGCAUGGAGCCGACCUUGAAAUACCACCCUUUAAUGUUUGAUGUUCUAACGUGGACCCGUAAUCCGGGUUGCGGACAGUGUCUGGUGGGUAGUUUGACUGGGGCGGUCUCCUCCUAAAGAGUAACGGAGGAGCACGAAGGUUGGCUAAUCCUGGUCGGACAUCAGGAGGUUAGUGCAAUGGCAUAAGCCAGCUUGACUGCGAGCGUGACGGCGCGAGCAGGUGCGAAAGCAGGUCAUAGUGAUCCGGUGGUUCUGAAUGGAAGGGCCAUCGCUCAACGGAUAAAAGGUACUCCGGGGAUAACAGGCUGAUACCGCCCAAGAGUUCAUAUCGACGGCGGUGUUUGGCACCUCGAUGUCGGCUCAUCACAUCCUGGGGCUGAAGUAGGUCCCAAGGGUAUGGCUGUUCGCCAUUUAAAGUGGUACGCGAGCUGGGUUUAGAACGUCGUGAGACAGUUCGGUCCCUAUCUGCCGUGGGCGCUGGAGAACUGAGGGGGGCUGCUCCUAGUACGAGAGGACCGGAGUGGACGCAUCACUGGUGUUCGGGUUGUCAUGCCAAUGGCACUGCCCGGUAGCUAAAUGCGGAAGAGAUAAGUGCUGAAAGCAUCUAAGCACGAAACUUGCCCCGAGAUGAGUUCUCCCUGAGACUUAGAGUCUCCUGAAGGAACGUUGAAGACGACGACGUUGAUAGGCCGGGUGUGUAAGCGCAGCGAUGCGUUG
rnacentral:rRNA from 1 species